AUGAACGCUGGCGGCGUGCCUAAUACAUGCAAGUCGAGCGAACGGACGAGAAGCUUGCUUCUCUGGUGUUAGCGGCGGACGGGUGAGUAACACGUGGAUAACCUACCUAUAAGACUGGGAUAACUUCGGGAAACCGGAGCUAAUACCGGAUAAUAUUUUGAACCGCAUGGUUCAAAAGUGAAAGACGGUCUUGCUGUCACUUAUAGAUGGAUCCGCGCUGCAUUAGCUAGUUGGUAAGGUAACGGCUUACCAAGGCAACGAUGCAUAGCCGACCUGAGAGGGUGAUCGGCCACACUGGAACUGAGACACGGUCCAGACUCCUACGGGAGGCAGCAGUAGGGAAUCUUCCGCAAUGGGCGAAAGCCUGACGGAGCAACGCCGCGUGAGUGAUGAAGGUCUUCGGAUCGUAAAACUCUGUUAUUAGGGAAGAACAUAUGUGUAAGUAACUGUGCACAUCUUGACGGUACCUAAUCAGAAAGCCACGGCUAACUACGUG
rnacentral:rRNA from 1 species